rnacentral:tRNA from 1 species
UCGGCGAUGGACGAGGUGCGUUCGGUGUGCUCGACGGUGCUGAGCCUGCGCAAGGCGCAGAACCUGCGGGUGCGGCUGCCGCUGUCCGAG